CUGAGGCUAGGCAUCUUCCACAGAUUUCUCUGGAUAUACUCCAUGCAGACUGCUGGGGACAACCACUGUCCUGAAAUGCUUUUCUGUGUUUUGGGAUCAGUGGAAGAAUAUGCUUAAUGCCUGAAAGAAGGGCUUCCUGGACUUCUUAUGGAACCCAUCAGUAGCGGUAUUAGAAAAUGAAGGCAAGAAUGAGCAGAAUGUAAGGCCUUGGAGGCUGCCCAAAGAGGACCUCGAAGAUUUCUCCUUCAGCAUACUGGUGAAAAACCACAAAGAAGGUUUGUUCAUUGUUUGCUGUUGUCCAUAACUAUAAAUAGCUUCACGCUGCAAGGGUUGGAAAACUCUGUGGCAAGAAAACAAAAGAUCUUUCUCCAGCCCCAAAGUCAUGAUUUCAACAGAUAAGCAGGAACCCUCAAGAUAAAGGGAAAGCUGCAAGAAGAAGAGG